GAUUGUAUAAGUAAGAUAACUGGCAUAAUGUUAAUUAAUUAUCUAACCUAAUAAAUAAUCUUAUGAGAUUCGAAGUCAACAAAUGAAAAUAUUAAAAAUUAAAUUAUUUUAUCAAUCCCUUAAUAACUAAUAGUAUAACCAAAGCUGGGCAUUAACAAGUUAAAAAGUUACUUUUAACUAAGUUACUUAACGAGUUACUUUUUUUUAAAGAAGUAACUUCUAUCAUAACGAAUUCCUUUUUUUUUAGAAACUUCUAACUCUUAAAGCGUUUAUUUAUUUUAUAGGCACGUUAAGUUAUUUUUUUUCUUUGUACGAACCUCAAAAAUGUAUUAUUGCAUUUUGUAUAAUAAAAAUAAUAAUAAUAAUAAUAACAAUAAUUAUUAUAUUAAAUAUAAAUUAUUCUGUUAUAUAUUAUUAUAUAGGUAUCGAGUAUUCUAAAUAUUAUAGACUGUCGAAGUAUUCUACAAUACCUAUGUCUGGAUUUUAAAAUAACAUGUUUAAAUACAAGUAUAAGGACCUAUUAUAUUGAUUAAAUAAACUAUAAUAUUAUAGUUACUGUAUAUUUAAACAAUACUAAUAGUUAAUGGAUCUUACAAAAUGUCAAAAUAUACCAAACGACUUAUAAGAAAUAAAGAAUAAUAUUUUAUAUAAUUUCUUUUUCAUAGAAUAUAGUAUAUCUAAAUAUUAAACAAUAGUGCAAUGCGUGUAAUUAUUAUUUGGAAAAAAAAACAUAUAUUUAAUAUUAUCAAUACCCAAUAUCCCAUAUAGGUACGUUAGUAAACUCAGUUUUUCAAAUUUCAAAAUUUAUGGUUUGUUAUAUUUAAAUUCAUUCAUGGAAAUGAUAAGAAUAAUUUUACUCGGAGUGAGGGAGUGACCAAUUAUAUUUACUAUUUACUAAUUUAAUUAUUUUAUUAGAUUUCAUAAUUAAUAAGUACCUACAGCAAAAUACAUUUUUUAGGAUAUAAAGACCUGCAAUCUACAUUAUAAUAUUAUCACAACAAAAACCUUUCGUAAACUUCAUGUAAAAAUGGCUAAGUAAAAAAAAAUAUUAGAUCUUUAAGCACUAUAAAGAUGUGAUAUCAUGAAUUAAUGCUAAGUAUAUUGUAUUUAAGUAAACGUAUUUUGUUUCAAUAAUUUAUUUACUUGGCGAGGAAUUAUUUCUUAAAAGAAACAAAGUGUGAUGAAUAAUAUAAUAAAAUGGCGAAGAACUAUUACAAUAUAACUUAUUAUUAUUUAAAACAUAUUAUUAUUAAUAUUUAUACACUAUUCUGUGGCGCUGGAUGUUAUUUGUAAAUCUUUAACAUGAAGUGUAAAUGGUAUAAUUAUAAGUUUUAUAUGAAAAAAAAAGUAACUUAUUUUUAACUAAGUUAAGUUACUUAUUUUUUCCAAUUAACUUGUAACUUUAACAAGUUAAAUAAAAAAUAAAAGUAACUUCUAACUUAAAAUUUAACUAAGAUUUUUUCAAAUUAACUUAACGAGUUAAAUAAAAGAGUUAACUUGCCCAGCCUUGAGUAUAACAAAACGGUCCUAUAAAAUCACAUAAUGUCUUUUCGAUCAAUUAAUCAUAAAUAUAAUAGUUAAUUAUUUCCCAUCUUUCUAUGAUUGACAGUUUAUAAUUACAGCACAACUUUAUGAACUGCCAUAAAAGGCUCUCUUUAAAUGUUAUCAUUUAUUUAUUCUUAUGACACCAUGGUAAUAUUAUAUUAAUAACUAAUAACAAUUUUAAGGAGAGCUUAUUUAAAUUGUGUACAGUAUUAAGUUUCCAACAUAAUAUAUUAGUUCAUUAUUAUAUUAUAUUGAAUUUUAGUGAGAUAUUAUUAUUUUACCCAGACUUAAUAUAAUAUAAAAACUAACAAUACAUGUUGAUGUUUAAUGAUUAUUGUUGAAGGUAUCAUUUAAAAAAUGAAUUCAAAAUUGUGUUUGUAUCAACUAUAUUAACAAUAAAUUUGUCUGAUUAUAUUUUUUUAAACAGAUAAUAUUGUUGCAACAGGUGUAUAUACCGAGUAUAAUCAAUUCAAAAAUGCGAUUGAGUCAUAUGACUUAAGCUUUGACAAUAAAAUAGCUGAAAUCAGUAGAAAAUGGACAGAGGAAGCAAAAGCUUACUACAGGUUUCAUAUAUACCAGUCUGAAACACCAACCGCCCAUCCACUAUUUAAUUAUAAAAAAUGGUGCGCUGCUUAUGUCGGCUCAUACUUUGGACUUAGAAUUCACGGUUUUAUCAGUGAUUGAGGAUUUAUCACUGGAAUUAAUAUAUCUAGCCUACCAAUGAAGACAUCAAUAUUAUUGAGGGUAGACCAAAAGUCAAUAAAAAGUAUAUUAAAUUUGUAUAAUGAACCUAAAAAUUUAACUUAGGUAAUUAUCUUGUAUGUUAAAAUUUUUUAUUUAAAAAUAAAUAAUAUUAAAAUACCUA